AGGAUUAACGCUGGCGGCGUGCCUAACACAUGCAAGUCGAACGAGGUAGCAAUACCUAGUGGCAGACGGGUGAGUAACGCGUGGUCAACCUACCGUUGAGUGGGGGAUAACUAGCCGAAAGGUUAGCUAAUACCGCAUACGUCUCCGAGGGGCAUCCCUUGGCGAUAAAAGGAGCAAUCCGCUCGAUGACGGGACCGCGUCCCAUUAGCUAGAUGGUGGGGUAACGGCCUACCAUGGCACCGAUGGGUAGCUGGUUUGAGAGAGCGACCAGCCACACUGGGACUGAGAAACGGCCCAGACUCCUACGGGAGGCAGCAGUGAGGAAUUUUCCGCAAUGGGCGCAAGCCUGACGGAGCGACGCCGCGUGUGGGAAGAAGGCCUUCGGGUCGUAAACCACUGUCGAAGGGGACGAUAAUGACGGUACCCUUGGAGGAGCCCCGGCUAACUACGUGCCAGCCAGCCGC
rnacentral:rRNA from 1 species